UGGAGUCACAGAUGGUUCUGAGCUGCUUCACAUGGAUGCUGGGGUUCGAACUCUUGACUCUCUCAAAGAGCAGCUCUUAACUGCUCUCAGGUCUGCGUAUUGGGAACACCGGCUUUACUCUGUCUCAACCUCUCGCUAGCAGUACAGUCUUGUUUACUUUCUCUAUGUUCUCACCGCUAGCUGGGAAUGAUUGCAGCAUAUACCAUGGGCAGGCUUCUGUGCAGGGAAACUGAGCUCACCCCAUAUGUUUCAAGAAAUAGCAGCUGUGGUUGUGAGGAGCGCAGGGUUAGGAGCCCAUCAGCCUGGGCUGGAACGAAGACUCGACCGCUGUCCUACACGGAGCCAGGUGUUUCCCUUCCUUGCUUGGUGUCUUUUUUUUUUUUUUUUAAUGGGAACCAUUUGGUUGUCGUGAAAAUGAGUAAGUUAAUCUGCAUAAAAGUUCUUGGGGACGCCUGUACUGGGCAAGUAUUGUUGGCUGCAAUUAGCAUGAGGCCGAUGCAGCCCAGAUUGAGUGUGGCCCACAGUAGCCAUGAAAUAAUAUUUUCAUUUUACUGGAAGAACAGACCUGAGACAGAAAGUUCCGGAGGAGGGGUUCCACCUGGUCCAGCUCAAAGGAUUUCAGGGUGUCUCUGUGGGUGGCUAAGCUUCGUCUGCUCCCACAGGUGUGGUCACCGUGGCAGUGUUGCUCUUCACUCAGUCAUACCUUAGCUCCUGGAAUACCCACCCAAGACAUUGUUCCACCCUCGAGCACAGCCCUCUCCAAUGCUGCCUGGCUGAGACGUAGCUGCUACUCCCACCCUGUGUGUGUGUGUGUGUGUGUGUGUGUGUGUGUGUGUGUGUGUGUGUGUGUGUGUGUGUGUGUGUUCGCCCUGGGCUCUGGCUGUGAAACAAAGCACAUGAGAACUAAUUUUCUUAGGAAGUUGUCCUGGUUGACAAUGCCUCUUUGUUUGCAGGUAAAAGAUGCUGCUGAGGCCUAAGAUUGCGUGAUCUGGAAUCUGAACCGCUGGGCUGUUUUUCUGGCUUCUAGGGCCUGCUGGGACAUUGCUUCUCCCAGUAUGCCCUUCCAUGAAACCUUGUCCUGCUGGCUUUCACUUCUGCUGCUGAAGCUUGGCCUGCCCAGACAGACAAAGUGCAGGAUGGGAGGUGUCAAUGGUGUGUGCAACCUACAAGCCAGGCGCAGCCACCCAUCUUCAAUAACCUGAUUAAAGGAGCCAAGUUAAGGGUGAGAAGCAAAAAGAGGACACUUACUCAAGGUGGCCAUAUUGGGAAGAGGGAGAAAGAGUCCUACUGAUGGGCUGGAGAGAUGGCUCAGUGUAAGAGUUCUUGAGUACCACACUCAAGUCCCAGGCAAGGACUCCAGUCUCUUAGCCAUUUUUCCAUGGUAAACUGAAGAAGUAAAUGGUAGUGGAAGUAAGUUCCAGAAAGAUCUUGGGUUCUCUGGGAAUCCAGCCAAUAUGGAAUGAGGUGGAAGAACUGGUUGUUGAACAGCUAACUGGGCUGCCAUUUAUCUUCCCGGGUCCUACCUUGAGUUCCUGCCCUGACUUCUCUGGAUGAUGAACUACAAGCUGUAAGGCGAAAUAAACCCUUUCUUCCCCAA